ensembl:lncRNA
CUUGGAUAGAGCUAAUAGUGCUACAAAGUCAUUACGUUCCAGCAGGGUAGAAAGUCCUCCCAGGUAUAAAUGUCAAGUUUAUGGAGCUCCAAGACCACUUUCAAUGGGGCAUGUUCUUAUCACAUGCACUGAUGCAGGGACUCAUGCAAAGCCCUGUGCCUCGACAGCCAGCAGCACAGCUCUCACGAGUAUCUCCAAAGCUGUUUGUCCAGAGUUUAUUUGGGAUUGGUUUCCUUAAUUUCAUGCAACAGUCAUCAAAGCAAAACAGAAGUGGACGUGCUGCUGUCAGUGUGGAUGUGGAGUCCUCCGUGUCCCCCCUCUGCUCGUUAUCUGCAGGGACUGAAAUUUGGUUUGUUUUUUAUGCUUAGGAGCCAGAGAAAGCUAAGAUACUGCUUAAGUGAAGAGCCAUUAUUUACUGUUAAUAAAAUUGACACCGUAACACAUUCCGUAUGGCACAGAUAUGCAAUCACAUCUUGGCAUCAGUAACAGGAGGAAUUAUUCUGCCUGGCUUGCAGUCUUUUCUUCAUUGUACAAAGACAGUAAUUACCCAGCUUGGAACUAAAUGAACCCAACUGAAAAAAGCUGAUUGAUGAGAAAUGACUCCUGACUGCUUCCCAAACACAUCUUGGUUUGGAUGCCAUCACUGACAGCGCUGAUGCCAGCACCAGGUUGUGGCUCCUGCUGGGCAGUAUCCAUAGCCAGGAGUCAGUGUUCAGUGGUUUGGUCUCUAGGGGACUCCCAGCUUGAAGGAGUGAUGAAUAAACAGCGAUAAGCACGCCAUAAACCCUUCCAAACUGACCCAUUUACAUGCAAAGUUGGUAUGUUGCAAAUUAUGAUAAAUGUAGUGCAGGCAAGCCACUCCACAUUAAUUCCUGGGGUAAAGAUCAUGCAGUGGCUUACUCCAGAUUAGGAAUUACUUUGCAUGAGGUUUCUCCAUACAGUGUGGCUAUCAGUCAGUGUGUGAUAACUCCCUUUACAGCCCCAAAUACACCAAAGUCUCCACAUAUGCAUGUCUUUGGGCCAGGCUGUCAUCAUGCAGCAAGCUGUCAUUCCCAGGGCCAGCAAGAUCACCUGUUGCUCCCUCCAGCUUUUCCAUAUCAAGUUCAUGAAGUUUCUCUAAUUUUGCAUUUUAAAUUGAUCUAGUCAACUGCAAAUUGUUGGUUUUGUUGUUUUGUUGUUGCUGUUUUCACCCUUCCUGCAAAUGAAGCUUCCUGCAAAUGAAGGGAUCUGUUAUUCCAUUCAUCCUUUUUCUCAGCCCUGCACAAUUUUUCAUUAGCCGGUGAUGCAACAGUUUGCAAACAUGCUUUCCAGCUUGGUGUAGCUACUGAAAAGCCAGUGACCUUCUGCAUCCAGCUCGGGAGCAGUGUGUGCAGAGCUGCUGCGGAGCUGAGGAUGAACUUCCCAUGGUGAUGAAGAGGCACGAAGGAGUGUUUCUAAGUGCCCAGCUGCCUGCAUUCUUGUUGAGCUCAUCCUUUUAAGACUGCUGAGAGGUGAUUGUAUUAGUAAUGAUACGUUGCAGUGCCUAGAGGCCUGGAUAAAUAACUAAUGAGGCAUCUUAGUCAAAAUAAAAAA